rnacentral:rRNA from 1 species
CGGGACGGGUGGGUAAUGUCUGGGAAACUGCCUGAUGGAGGGGGGUAACUACUGGAAACGGUGGCUAAUACCGCAUAACGUCGCAAGACCAAAGAGGGGGACCUUCGGGCCUCUUGCCAUCGGAUGUGCCCAGAUGGGAUUAGCUAGUAGGUGGGGUAACGGCUCACCUAGGCGACGAUCCCUAGCUGGUCUGAGAGGAUGACCAGCCACACUGGAACUGAGACACGGUCCAG